rnacentral:rRNA from 1 species
GACAGAGGGUGCAAACGUUGUUCGGAAUUACUGGGCGUAAAGCGCGUGUAGGUGGCGAGGCAAGUCGGGUGUGGAAGCCCUGGGCUCAACCCAGGAAGUGCACUCGAUACUGCCUAGCUAGAGUCCCGGAGAGGUUGGUGGAACUCUCGGUGUAGAGGUGAAAUUCGUAGAUAUCGAGAAGAACACCGGUGGCGAAGGCGGCCAACUGGACGGUGACUGACACUGAGACGCGAAAGCGUGGGGAGCAAACAGG